rnacentral:rRNA from 1 species
AGCAGGCGCGUAAAUUGCCCGAAUCCUGACACAGGGAGGUAGUGACAAGAAAUAACAAUACAGGGCUACAUCCAGUCUUGUAAUUGGAAUGAGUACAAUUUACAUCUCUUCACGAUGAUCAAUUGGAGGGCAAGUCUGGUGCCAGCAGCCGCGGUAAUUCCAGCUCCAAUAGCGUAUAUUAAAGUUGUUGCAGUUAGAACGCUCGUAGUCGGAUUUCGGGGCGGGCCGACCGGUCUGCCGAUGGGUACGCACUGGUCGGCGCGUCCUUCCUUCCGGAGACCGUGCCUACUCUUAACUGAGCGGGGGCGGGAGACGGAUCGUUUACUUUGAAAAAAUCAGAGUGUUUCAAGCAGGCAGCUCGCUCUUGCAUGGAUUAGCAUGGGAUAAUGAAAUAGGACUUUGGUGCUAUUUUGUUGGUUUCGAACACCGAAGUAAUGAUUAACAGGGACAGUCAGGGGCACUCGUAUUCCGCCGAGAGAGGUGAAAUUCUCAGACCAGCGGAAGACGAACUACUGCGAAAGCAUUUGCCAGGGAUGUUUUCACUGAUCAAGAACGAAAGUUAGGGGAUCGAAGACGAUCAGAUACCGUCGUAGUCUUAACCAUAAACCAUGCCGACUAGGGAUUGGAGGAUGUUCACUGAUUGACUCCUUCAGCACCUUACGGGAAACUAAAGUCUUUGGGUUCCGGGGGGAGUAUGGUCGCAAGGCUGAAACUUAAAGGAGUUGACGGAAGGGCACCACCAGGUGUGGAGCCUGCGGCUUAAUUUGACUCAACACGGGGAAACUUACCAGGUCCAGACAUUGUGAGGAUUGACAGAUUGAGAGCUCUUUCUUGAUUCGAUGGGUGGUGGUGUAUGGCCGUUCUUAGUUGGUGGAGUGAUUUGUCUGGGUUAAUUCCGUUAACGAACGAGACCUUAGCCUGCUAAAUAGUGACGCGAACACUUCGUUCGCGGGCCACUUCUUAGAGGGACAACUCGUCUUCAACAAGUGGAAGUUUGAGGCAAUAACAGGUCUGUGAUGCCCUUAGAUGUUCUGGGCCGCACGCGCGCUACACUGACGCACUCAACGAGUCUCCACCUUCACUGAAAAGUGCGGGAAACCUUCGAACUUGCAUCGUGAUGGGGAUAGAUUAUUGCAACUAUUAAUCUUCAACGAGGAAUACCUAGUAAGCGCAUGUCAUCAGCGCGCGUUGA